GGGCCCGUAGCUUAGCUAGGUAGAGCGCCCUGGGGCCCAGCCCCGUGCCCCGCGUAAGGCUCAUAACCGGGAGGUCCCGGGUUCAAAUCCCGGCGGGCCCA
rnacentral:tRNA from 1 species